GGCUCAGAGGGUAAAGAAUCUGCCUGCAAUGCAGGAGACCAGGGUUCAAUCCCUGGGCCG
rfam:TPA: Bos taurus chromosome 19, whole genome shotgun sequence.